rnacentral:rRNA from 1 species
UACGGAGGAUGCGAGCGUUAUCCGGAUUUAUUGGGUUUAAAGGGAGCGCAGACGGGUCGUUAAGUCAGCUGUGAAAGUUUGGGGCUCAACCUUAAAAUUGCAGUUGAUACUGGCGUCCUUGAGUGCGGUUGAGGUGUGCGGAAUUCGUGGUGUAGCGGUGAAAUGCUUAGAUAUCACGAAGAACUCCGAUUGCGAAAGCAGCGCACUAAGCCGUAACUGACGUUCAUGCUCGAAAGUGUGGGUAUCAAACAGG